AGGGGCUGGAGAGAUGGCUCAGUGGUAAAG
rnacentral:piRNA from 1 species